rnacentral:rRNA from 1 species
GGUUAAGCGACUAAGCGUACACGGUGGAUGCCCUGGCAGUCAGAGGCGAUGAAGGACGUGCUAAUCUGCGAUAAGCGUCGGUAAGGUGAUAUGAACCGUUAUAACCGGCGAUUUCCGAAUGGGGAAACCCAGUGUGAUUCGUCACACUAUCAUUAACUGAAUCCAUAGGUUAAUGAGGCGAACCGGGGGAACUGAAACAUCUAAGUACCCCGAGGAAAAGAAAUCAACCGAGAUUCCCCCAGUAGCGGCGAGCGAACGGGGAGCAGCCCAGAGCCUGAAUCAGUGUGUGUGUUAGUGGAAGCGUCUGGAAAGGCGCGCGAUACAGGGUGACAGCCCCGUACACAAAAAUGCACAUGCUGUGAGCUCGAUGAGUAGGGCGGGACACGUGGUAUCCUGUCUGAAUAUGGGGGGACCAUCCUCCAAGGCUAAAUACUCCUGACUGACCGAUAGUGAACCAGUACCGUGAGGGAAAGGCGAAAAGAACCCCGGCGAGGGGAGUGAAAAAGAACCUGAAACCGUGUACGUACAAGCAGUGGGAGCCUCUUUUAUGGGGUGACUGCGUACCUUUUGUAUAAUGGGUCAGCGACUUAUAUUCUGUAGCAAGGUUAACCGAAUAGGGGAGCCGAAGGGAAACCGAGUCUUAACUGGGCGUUAAGUUGCAGGGUAUAGACCCGAAACCCGGUGAUCUAGCCAUGGGCAGGUUGAAGGUUGGGUAACACUAACUGGAGGACCGAACCGACUAAUGUUGAAAAAUUAGCGGAUGACUUGUGGCUGGGGGUGAAAGGCCAAUCAAACCGGGAGAUAGCUGGUUCUCCCCGAAAGCUAUUUAGGUAGCGCCUCGUGAAUUCAUCUCCGGGGGUAGAGCACUGUUUCGGCAAGGGGGUCAUCCCGACUUACCAACCCGAUGCAAACUGCGAAUACCGGAGAAUGUUAUCACGGGAGACACACGGCGGGUGCUAACGUCCGUCGUGAAGAGGGAAACAACCCAGACCGCCAGCUAAGGUCCCAAAGUCAUGGUUAAGUGGGAAACGAUGUGGGAAGGCCCAGACAGCCAGGAUGUUGGCUUAGAAGCAGCCAUCAUUUAAAGAAAGCGUAAUAGCUCACUGGUCGAGUCGGCCUGCGCGGAAGAUGUAACGGGGCUAAACCAUGCACCGAAGCUGCGGCAGCGACGCUGAUGCGUUGUUGGGUAGGGGAGCGUUCUGUAAGCCUGUGAAGGUGUGCUGUGAGGCAUGCUGGAGGUAUCAGAAGUGCGAAUGCUGACAUAAGUAACGAUAAAGCGGGUGAAAAGCCCGCUCGCCGGAAGACCAAGGGUUCCUGUCCAACGUUAAUCGGGGCAGGGUGAGUCGACCCCUAAGGCGAGGCCGAAAGGCGUAGUCGAUGGGAAACAGGUUAAUAUUCCUGUACUUGGUGUUACUGCGAAGGGGGGACGGAGAAGGCUAUGUUGGCCGGGCGACGGUUGUCCCGGUUUAAGCGUGUAGGCUGGUUUUCCAGGCAAAUCCGGAAAAUCAAGGCUGAGGCGUGAUGACGAGGCACUACGGUGCUGAAGCAACAAAUGCCCUGCUUCCAGGAAAAGCCUCUAAGCAUCAGGUAACAUCAAAUCGUACCCCAAACCGACACAGGUGGUCAGGUAGAGAAUACCAAGGCGCUUGAGAGAACUCGGGUGAAGGAACUAGGCAAAAUGGUGCCGUAACUUCGGGAGAAGGCACGCUGAUAUGUAGGUGAAGUCCCUCGCGGAUGGAGCUGAAAUCAGUCGAAGAUACCAGCUGGCUGCAACUGUUUAUUAAAAACACAGCACUGUGCAAACACGAAAGUGGACGUAUACGGUGUGACGCCUGCCCGGUGCCGGAAGGUUAAUUGAUGGGGUCAGCGCAAGCGAAGCUCUUGAUCGAAGCCCCGGUAAACGGCGGCCGUAACUAUAACGGUCCUAAGGUAGCGAAAUUCCUUGUCGGGUAAGUUCCGACCUGCACGAAUGGCGUAAUGAUGGCCAGGCUGUCUCCACCCGAGACUCAGUGAAAUUGAACUCGCUGUGAAGAUGCAGUGUACCCGCGGCAAGACGGAAAGACCCCGUGAACCUUUACUAUAGCUUGACACUGAACAUUGAGCCUUGAUGUGUAGGAUAGGUGGGAGGCUUUGAAGUGUGGACGCCAGUCUGCAUGGAGCCGACCUUGAAAUACCACCCUUUAAUGUUUGAUGUUCUAACGUUGACCCGUAAUCCGGGUUGCGGACAGUGUCUGGUGGGUAGUUUGACUGGGGCGGUCUCCUCCUAAAGAGUAACGGAGGAGCACGAAGGUUGGCUAAUCCUGGUCGGACAUCAGGAGGUUAGUGCAAUGGCAUAAGCCAGCUUGACUGCGAGCGUGACGGCGCGAGCAGGUGCGAAAGCAGGUCAUAGUGAUCCGGUGGUUCUGAAUGGAAGGGCCAUCGCUCAACGGAUAAAAGGUACUCCGGGGAUAACAGGCUGAUACCGCCCAAGAGUUCAUAUCGACGGCGGUGUUUGGCACCUCGAUGUCGGCUCAUCACAUCCUGGGGCUGAAGUAGGUCCCAAGGGUAUGGCUGUUCGCCAUUUAAAGUGGUACGCGAGCUGGGUUUAGAACGUCGUGAGACAGUUCGGUCCCUAUCUGCCGUGGGCGCUGGAGAACUGAGGGGGGCUGCUCCUAGUACGAGAGGACCGGAGUGGACGCAUCACUGGUGUUCGGGUUGUCAUGCCAAUGGCACUGCCCGGUAGCUAAAUGCGGAAGAGAUAAGUGCUGAAAGCAUCUAAGCACGAAACUUGCCCCGAGAUGAGUUCUCCCUGAC